GAAAGAAAGAAAGAAAGAAAGAAAGGAGGGAAGAAGGAAGGAGGAAGGAGGAAGGAAGAUAGAUAGAUGGAGGAAGGAAAAAGAAAGAAAGAAAGAAAGAAGGAGGGAAGAAGGAAAGAAGGAAGGAAGGAAGAAAGAAAGAAAGAUAGAUAGAUAGAUAGAUGGAGGAAGGAAAAAGAAAGAAAGAAAGGAGGGAAGAAGGAAGGAAGGAAGAAAGAAAGAAAGAAAGAAAGAAAGAAAGAAAGAAAGGGAGGGAGGCACUGGGGAAAUGAAGCAGGAGAGUCCAGAUAACUUAUCUGAAAAAGAGUUUGUUCUCUGGAGCCAACUGGCCAGACUGGGUUGUGUUCCGACACAGCGACACCUGGACCCAGACAAGAGGCAGCAUUCCAGAUGGGUCAAGGGUCCUGCAGCCUCUUGUCAGAAGGGAGAGAACCCACAUGCCCUUUGCAAACCAGCCAAAGGACCGGAUCAAUGGUGAGGCCCUGGGAUCCAGAAGUUUCAGUUUGGAGACCUCUGGUCUGUCCCACUCAACACGUUGGUCUGGGGAAUCCACCCACGGGCCUCCCUUGCCCUGAUAUAAUAACAUUCAUCCACCCUCCUGACCAAGUUGCUGGAAAGAGCUUAAAAGAAAAAUGACAAUACCGUAUGCCUGUUGUUGUUUUAAAUAAAUGUGACCAUUGAUUGAGCACAACUCUGAUUAAAAUAGAUGCCUGCCUUGUGCAGCUUACAAUUUAAUGAUGGGAAAGAAUUGUUCAGGCGGGUUCUCAGAUAUGUAAAUUCAAGCUUUGGGGGAUUCAGCUGAAAACAAAGGCAGCAAAAGCACCAAAGAGUCCUGAACUUCUAAAGUAAAACAAUACAAACUUCAGUAUAUAUAUAUAGAAACCCCAGAAGCCCUCCAUAGAGCUUUAACAUUCUGAGCAACCACUGAAGUUCCUUGAAACUAAAAAGUGAUCAGAAGCUGUCAUAAAACUUUCUAAGGGGAUGGUGGGACUAGGGAAGAUCCUGAUAUAUGAGACUCAUUAGGUGACUGGAAUAUAUUUUGCAUAUGCUCGGAAGAACACAUUAAAAAAAGGAGUCGCCUCUACAAACUCUGAAAGAUUUCCCAGCCUGCCUACCUUUCAAGACUGUUGUGAGGAUAAAAUGAAGAGAGCAAUCCAUGGAAUGGAAGUUAUUCUGGGCUCCAGGACAAAAGGCAGAAUAUAUACCUGGAAACCAGAAGAAUCAUCCUGACAUCAGAGAUUUUACUCUUUAAAACCCACUAAAGGUUCCAUUUUUUUUUCUUGGCCAAUUAGAAAAACCAUUCCUAUACUUGUGCCUGGAGAAGGUUCGAACAAACAAUGGGACACUUUGUCGAACUCAAAAGAAACAGAAGAUUAUACAAGUGGGGAUUCACUUCAUGGCAACAAAAUGAUUGCAUUUGCCAUUAUCUUCUGGCGCUUUUUUUUUUAAAUGUCCUUGUCUAUCUUAGAAUCUUAGGAUUUCUUAGUGGCACUCUAUUCAAAUACUAACCAAGUCUGAUAGUUUCUUCUUCUUCUUCUGAGAUCAGCUAAGGUUGGUUUGAUGCUGCCAUCUGCUGUUACAAAGGAAGCAGCUCCUUAGGUGAGGUGCUUCAAAAAAGUGCAGACAGGUAUUACGUUCAGGCUACUUUGUCCUCUAAAGCAGGGUUCUCCAACCUUGGCAACUUUAAAAUAUUUGGACUUCAACUCCCAGAGGACUCUGAGAGUUGAAAUCCACAAGUCUUAAAGUUGCCAAGGUUGGAGACCCCUGCUCUAAAGCAGUAUUUCUCAAGCUUGGCACCUUUAAAAUAUGUGGACUUCAACUCCCAGAAUUCCCCAGCUGCCGUUAGCCAUCCCUCCCAAUUAGUGUCAUCUAUAAAGUUUUUUUAGUGUCUCUUCAAGUUUCUCAUUCAGGUCAUAGAUUAAAAAAGGACAAAGCCCAGGACAAAGCUCGGUAUAUCUGUAGUUUAUCCAGAUCAUAUAUCUGUGGAUCCUGUAUAUCCAGACCAUCUUGCCUUGAAUGAGGUUAUUCCCUUCUCCAGAGCAAUACUCCACAUUUUUCCUAUCUUUGGAUGCGAAAGCUGUGCUCACAGAGGCCCAAUGGUAAGUUUUUCAACCUUGGCAAUUUUCAGAUGUGUGGACUUCAACUUCCCAGCCAGAUCAAUUCUGGGAGUUGAAGUCCACAUCUCUUAAAGUUGCCAAGGUUGAAAAACACUAUUCUAAAGCACUUUUUUUGAAAUAAGAUCUGAAAUCCUACACACAUGCCUACUGCACCUUUGCAAAAUAUUCUAUACUGGACUGGCCUCCUUGUAAUGUACCUAGGAGCAAGUCUACCAUUUCUGCAACAGAAUAAAAUAAAUUCUUUAUUGGCUAAGUGUGAUUAGAAACACAAGGAAUUUGUCUCUGGUGAUUAAGCUCUCACUGUACAUACAAGCAACAAGUGAUAAAUCAUGCUCAUAAUACAAUCAUAAAUCAUAAAAUACAACACUCAUUCAUAAGAUACUAUAUAAAAGCAAGCAACAUAAAUCAUACGAUACGAACAACAAAGUCAUCGUCAUAAGAUGCUAAAAGGUAAUAAGAGGUGAUAAUAAGAAAGAUGAGAAGGAUAAUAGUACAGCCCUACUACAUGGCUUGACAUCCUAGGGCAUAAGACAGUAUUUUGGGAAUUAGUUGUUUAGCAGACUGAUGGCCCAGGGGGAAAAAACUGUCCCUGUGUCUAGUUGUUUUGCCAUGCAAUGCCCUAUAGCAGGGGUGUCAAACUCACGUCAUCACGUCAUUGUCACGUGACUUAUCUGGAAUUUCCCCCUCCUUCGCUAAACUGGGAAUGGACAUGGCCAGCACGUGACGCAUCCGGCCCACGGGCCAUGAGUUUGACACCCCUGCCCUAUAGUGUCAUCAUGAGGGAAAAAGUUGAAACACUUUAUGUCCAGGAUGUGAGGAGUUUGUAGAUAAUUUCACAGCCCUCUUUCCGGCUCAUGCUGUAUACAGUUCCAGAUACGGUAUAAAGCAGGAGUCUCC